rnacentral:rRNA from 1 species
AUUGAACGCUGGCGGCAUGCCUUACACAUGCAAGUCGAACGGCAGCACGGGGGCAACCCUGGUGGCGAGUGGCGAACGGGUGAGUAAUGCAUCGGAACGUGCCCAGUAGUGGGGGAUAACCAGUCGAAAGACUGGCUAAUACCGCAUACGACCCAAGGGUGAAAGCGGGGGACCGUAAGGCCUCGCGCUAUUGGAGCGGCCGAUGUCUGAUUAGCUAGUUGGCGGGGUAAGGGCCCACCAAGGCGACGAUCAGUAGCUGGUCUGAGAGGACGACCAGCCACACUGGGACUGAGACACGGCCCAGACUCCUACGGGAGGCAGCAGUGGGGAAUUUUGGACAAUGGGCGCAAGCCUGAUCCAGCCAUGCCGCGUGCGGGAAGAAGGCCUUCGGGUUGUAAACCGCUUUUGGCAGGAACGAAACGGCGCAAGCCAGUACCUUGCGCUAAUGACGGUACCUGCAGAAUAAGCACCGGCUAACUACGUGCCAGCAGCCGCAGUAAUAC